GACGAACGCUGGCGGCGUGCCUAACACAUGCAAGUCGAACGAAGUGACGAACAGGUGAGUAAUACGUGGGUAACCUGCCCUCCUUUUCGGGUCAAGCCUUGGAAACGGGGUCUAAUACCGACUAACGGGGGGGGGGCUAGUGGCGUCUCAGCUCGUUGGGGGGGUGAUGGCCUACCAAGGCGGUGACGGGUAGCGGGCCUGAGAGGGUGCACGGCGACAUAGACACUGAGAUACCGCCCAGACUACGAAGGGGGGGAGCAGUGGGGGAUAUUGCAGAAAGGGCGAAAGCGUGAUGCAGCGACGGCGCGGGAGGGAUGAGGGCUUUAGGGUUGUAAACCUCGUUCGCAAUCGAACGGGUAUGUGGAGAAGAAGCGCCGGCUAACUACGUGCCAGCAGCCGCGGUAAUAC
rnacentral:rRNA from 1 species